rnacentral:rRNA from 1 species
UACGGAGGGUGCAAGCGUUGUCCGGAAUUAUUGGGCGUAAAGGGCUCGUAGGCGGUUUGUCGCGUCGGGAGUGAAAACCAGGUGCUUAACACCUGGCUUGCUUUCGAUACGGGCAGACUAGAGGUAUGCAGGGGAGAACGGAAUUCCUGGUGUAGCGGUGAAAUGCGCAGAUAUCAGGAGGAACACCAGUGGCGAAGGCGGCUCACUGGCCC